AAGCUGAGGAAAAGAAACCAACCGGGAUUGCCUUAGUAACGGCGAGUGAAGCGGCAAAAGCUCAAAUUUGAAAUCUGGUACCUUCGGUGCCCGAGUUGUAAUUUGGAGAGGGCAACUUUGGGGCCGUUCCUUGUCUAUGUUCCUUGGAACAGGACGUCAUAGAGGGUGAGAAUCCCGUGUGGCGAGGAGUGCGGUUCCUUGUAAAGUGCCUUCGAAGAGUCGAGUUGUUUGGGAAUGCAGCUCUAAGUGGGUGGUAAAUUCCAUCUAAAGCUAAAUAUUGGCGAGAGACCGAUAGCGAACAAGUACAGUGAUGGAAAGAUGAAAAGAACUUUGAAAAGAGAGUGAAAAAGUACGUGAAAUUGUUGAAAGGGAAGGGCAUUUGAUCAGACAUGGUGUUUUGUGCCCUCUGCUCCUUGUGGGUAGGGGAAUCUCGCAUUUCACUGGGCCAGCAUCAGUUUUGGUGGCAGGAUAAAUGCAUAGGAAUGUAGCUUGCCUCGGUAAGKAUUAUAGCCUGUGGGAAUACUGCCAGCUGGGACUGUGGACUGCGACGUAAGUCA
rnacentral:rRNA from 1 species